UGGUGCAUGGUUGUCGUCAGCUCGUGUCGUGAGAUGUGGGUUAAGUCCCGCAACGAGCGCAACCCUGUUGUUAGUUGAUAACAUUAAGAUGAUCACUCUAACGAGACUGCCGGUGAUAAAUCGGAGGAAGGUGGGGACGACGUCAAAUCAUCAUGCCCCUUAUGUCUUGGGCUACACACGUACUACAAUGGCUAUUACAAUGAGAAGCAAAGCUGUAAAGUGGAGCAAAUCUAUAAAAAUAGUCUCAGUUCAGAUUGUGGGCUGCAACCCGCCCACAUGAAGUCGGAAUUGCUAGUAACGGCAGGUCAGCAUACUGCCGUGAAUACGUUCCCGGGCCUUGUACACACCGCCCGUCACACCAUGAGAGUCUGCAACACCCGAAGUCGAUAGUCUAACCGCAAGGAGGACGUCGCCGAAGGUGGGGCCGAUGAUUGGGGUGAAGUCGUAACAAGGUAGCCGUAUCGGAAGGUGCGGCUGGAUCACCUCCUUUCUG
rnacentral:rRNA from 1 species